ACAAAAUGUAAAAGAAAAAUAUUUUAACUUGCAUGGUAUUAUAAAACAUAUUACAAAUGGAAUUGCAACAUUACACAUCACAUACUUGCAUAAAAAUAAAGUUGUCUCAGCUGGUUGUCUUUAACUUCCCUCAUAUGACACAUUACCAAAACUUUGAAAUAACACAUAAGGGGAAUUUUAUUUGCCAUUUCCUUCCUUGCAGAUAUUUAUUUAGAUUUAUGGAAGUUGUUCAUGGCCAAGCACCAUUUUUCAUACUAUUAAAACUGCAAUAUUCAUUUGCAAAACAAGCAAAAGUUUUACAUUGGUAUAGUUCCGCUAUUUCAAAAUGCACAUUACAACACACUUGCAUAGAAAGAGGAACCCAAAGGAGACAUUGCAUUUUUGCCUCUGGGUCCAUGUACACAGAUCAUACCAGCUCCACAGGUUUCUUUUACAAAGAAUCAACAAGAUAAUAAAGUUUUGGCUUUGGGUUCAUCUUGCAGCAGGUUAUGGAACCAAACUGUACAAAAGAAAACUGUACAACUGUUACAGUCCCCCCCACCAAUGAAAGUGUCCUUGGACUAGCUGUGGGUCUUCCUCUAGCCUUGAUAACAGUGGCAGUGGUGAUCGCAGUGCUCUGUACCCGGCGAUUUAGAUCUGCAAAUAUUUCCCAGCCUCCAGAAUUAAAGAGCCCAGAGGAGUCUGUUCAUAAUGCUGACAAUCCACGAUAUAUUGCUUCAGUUCUGACACGUCCACCAACUCAUCAAGACCCAGUUUAUGAGAACUUUCAAAGCAGAGGUCCAGUUCUGGCACAAAACAGACAAAGUAACGCCACAAGCACCAGUACACACAGAGGAGAUUCUCAGGCUGAAGAUCUCUAUCUGCAGUGUGAUCCUCAAGAAGAUGCCAUUUACAACAAUGAUCCUUCUUUCUUUAAGUGCUCCAGACAGCCUGAUGAUGACGAUGAGUACAUCAUGCCAGACAUGUCAUAGGGUUUCAUUCACUGAACGUUUGGUGGUACAUGCAUCUGAAGUAAGGUUCUGUGAAUGGCAUGUACAAGACAAAUGUUGGUUGUUGCUGUUCCCUACUGUAAAGAAAAUGUGGUGAAGGACUUUGAUGUGGCACUAGGUUUUAGGGCCAUAUGGUAACAACUAUAUUUGUAGUUUUGAAAUCAGGGAAUGAAACUUUGUUGCUUAGACGUUGGUUUCUUCAGUUUCAGGUUUGUAGCAUUUCAAUAUUUCCAGUUAGUGAAAGUUUAAGUCUUUAAUUUCUGGGGCUACCAGUGGGUGGAUUGCAGGUUACUUGACCAUCCUUGGUGUAUCUGUAAGCACUAUAACUGAAUAUGGCAGUCAUAGGUUUAUUAGAAUGAAACUUGUACAGGGAUUAGCUUUCUUAUAUGGAAAAAAUGGUUUCAGGACUGUGAGUUGCCAAGGAUGGCAACAUGUAUGGACUCUACCAAGUGCCUUUUUUGCUUCCACUGUGCCAAAAUGUUUGAUAUUUAACCGCUUAAAAAGAAAUUACAUUAAUUAAACAAACUCACACUAAAGCUA